GGCAGACGGGUGAGUAACAUGUAGGUAUCUACCCUGUGGCCUGGAAUAACACGAGGAAACUUGUGCUAAUACCGGAUAAGUCUUUACGGAGAAAGCUUUAUGCACCAUUGGAUGAGCCUGCACUUGAUUAGUUUGUUGGUAGGGUAAUGGCCUACCAAGACUUUGAUCAAUAGCUGAUUUGAGAGGAUGAUCAGCCACAUUGGGACUGAGACACGGCCCAAACUCCUACGGGAGGCAGCAGUGGGGAAUCUUGCACAAUGGAGGAAACUCUGAUGCAGCGAUGCCGCGUGAGUGAAGAAGGCCCUUGGGUUGUAAAGCUCUUUCGUCGGGGAAGAAAAUGACUGUACCCGAAUAAGAAGGUCCGGCUAACUUCGUGCCAGCAGCCGCGGUAAUACGAAGGGACCUAGCGUAGUUCGGAAUUACUGGGCUUAAAGAGUUCGUAGGUGGUUGAAAAAGUUGGUGGUGAAAUCCCAGAGCUUAACUCUGGAACUGCCAU
rnacentral:rRNA from 1 species